rnacentral:rRNA from 1 species
GACGAACGCUGGCGGCGUGCUUAACACAUGCAAGUCGAACGGUAAGGCCCUUCGGGGUACACGAGUGGCGAACGGGUGAGUAACACGUGGGUGAUCUGCCCUGCACUUCGGGAUAAGCCUGGGAAACUGGGUCUAAUACCGGAUAGGACCACUGCCUGCAUGGGUGGUGGUGGAAAGCUUUUGCGGUGUGGGAUGGGCCCGCGGCCUAUCAGCUUGGUGGUGGGGUGAUGGCCUACCAAGGCGACGACGGGUAGCCGGCCUGAGAGGGUGAUCGGCCACACUGGGACUGAGACACGGCCCAGACUCCUACGGGAGGCAGCAGUGGGGAAUAUUGCACAAUGGGCGCAAGCCUGAUGCAGCAACGCCGCGAGAGGGAUGACGGCCUUCGGGUUGUAAACCUCUUUUAGUAGGGAAGAAGCGAAAGUGACGGUACCUGCAGAAAAAGCACCGGCUAACUACGUGCCAGCAGCCGCGGUAA